rnacentral:rRNA from 1 species
UACGUAGGGUGCAAGCGUUGUCCGGAAUUAUUGGGCGUAAAGAGCUCGUAGGCGGUUUGUCGCGUCUGCUGUGAAAUCUGGGGCUCAACCCCCAGCCUGCAGUGGGUACGGGCAGACUAGAGUGCGGUAGGGGAGAUUGGAAUUCCUGGUGUAGCGGUGGAAUGCGCAGAUAUCAGGAGGAACACCGAGUGGCGAAGGCAGAUCUCUGGGCCGUAACUGACGCUGAGGAGCGAAAGCAUGGGAGCGAACAGG